CGACGCGCACAGAUGGGACCUCCUUUGGACGUUUUUAUUGCUUAUUCUGAUAGGAAACGUUUAAUAGCCGAAUUAAAAUGAAAAUUUUUUAUUUGAGUUAUUUAUAAUGGUACAGUCCGCUUGCAAUUUGUCUAUUUCACAUGUACAAUACAAAAUUUGUGUCUUCACGUAUUAUAAUUUUGACAUAGUAGUAGUUUUAAAAAAUAUCUUUCUAAAAAGAUGCAAAAAAGUCAACAUUUUCGAAAUUAAAAUGGUCAUAACUUGAACAAUGUUUAUAGUAGAAAAAUAAAAAUGUUACCUGCCGAUACCACUGAAAAUUACCAAUGCGCUGGUUUUAAAAACCGCGCGCACUUUCACGUGCGCGCGUGUGAAAAUAUAAAUUGAAAAUGUUUGCGGAGGAUGUCGAUCCAAGCCAGCAGCGUCAGUUCUUUGUACAGUCAAAGUUGACGCGAAACACUUUUUUGAUCUUUCCGUACGUUUAAAAUAAUUAUUAUUUAGCUAAAAUCUCCAUUACUUCUAUGUUCCAUUUAAUCUAUUACUUUCUCUUUGUCAUUUUAACUUGAUUCAUUUAUCAUAUUUCGAAAACUCUUGCUUAUGAUGAAAAUGUAGCCGAUAACAACCGUGCAACUUUCCGGAAUUUGACGUCGCAGACACAGUACAGGUCACAGACUUCGAACAAUGUUUAGAAUUCUACAAAAUAAGAAAUCUUUCUGAAGCAGUCCUAUGUGGAUGAAAAGAAUUAGGAAGCUUCUAGUAUCGAAAAUUGCCCUCAUCUACCGCUACAAGUGGAAACCAUUGGAAACCGUAAUCAGACCCGAUACUGCAACAUGUAAAAUGAAUCUCCUGUUUGCUCUGGAUUCAAAUGAAAGUGAUAAUUUUGAAUAAAGGGUUUACUACUCACUGACC